AUGCCUCCCCUCUACAUACUGCUCGGGCUUCUCCUCUUGCACACUGCUCCUUGGUGCUCCUCUGUAGCUGCAAAUGAAGACACUCUCACAUCAGACCAAGCACUUGCCGCCGGCGACAAGCUCGUCUCAAGAAACGGCAAGUUCGCCCUUGGCUUCUUCCAGCCAGCAGCAAGCAGCAUCAGUAAGUCCUCCCGCAAUGCCACCUCCCCUAGCUCCAGCUGGUACCUUGGCAUAUGGUUCAAUAGGAUCCCAGUUUUCACUACCGUGUGGGUUGCUAAUAGAGAGGAGCCCAUCACCCACCGCAACCUCAACCUGACACAGCUCAAGAUCUCAAGCGAUGGCAAUCUUGUCAUCGUGAACUAUGCCGCCAAAACUGAAUCCAUUGUUUGGUCCACUCACAUUGUCCAUGGUCGAACCAGUAGCAUAAACACCACCGCCUCUAUAGCCGUUGUUCUCUUGAAUAGUGGAAACCUUGCCCUACUCGCAAAUAGCCAAGACAUGUUGUGGCAGAGCUUCGACUACCCAACAGAUGUUGCGCUUCCUGGUGCCAAGUUGGGCCGGAAUAAGGUCCCCGGUUUCAUUCGUCGGUACAUAUCAAAGAAAAGCCUAAUUGAUAUUGGUCUAGGCUCAUACAGCAUUGAACUAGACAACACCGGGAUCGUCCUCAAGCACCGCAACCCCUCGGUAGUGUACUGGCAUUGGGCAUCCUCCAGAACAUCAUCGUUGAAUCUUGUACAAUUAAUCAAGACCACGUUAGAUUUGGAUCCCCGGACAAAAGGUUUGAUUAACCCAGCUUAUGUUGACAACGACCAAGAGGAGUACUACAUGUACACUUCACCGGAUGAAUCAUCGUCUUCUGUGUUUGUCUCAAUAGGCAUCUCUGGUCAGAUAAAGGUGAAUGUUUGGUCACAAGCCAGCCAGUCUUGGCAAAGCAUAUAUUCUGAGCCAGCCGAUCCCUGCACUCCGCCUGCUACGUGCGGACCUUUCACGGUCUGCAACGGCAUUGCACAUCCAUCUUGUGACUGUAUGGGGAGCUUCUCCCAGAAGUCACCGCAGGAUUGGGAGAUUGAGGAUCGAACAGGAGGAUGCAUCAGAAACACACCCUUACAUUGCAGCACAAGUCGUAACAACAAAAGCAUGGCAAGUUCAACAGACAUAUUCCACCCCAUUGCUCGAGUCGUAUUACCCUACAACCCGCAAAUUAUAGAUGUUGCUACCAGUCAAAGCAAAUGUGAGCAAGCAUGUCUUGGUUCCUGCUCCUGCACUGCUUAUUCCUAUAGCAAUAGCAGAUGCUCUAUCUGGCAUGGGGAAUUGUAUAGUGUAAAUUUUAAUGAUGGCAUUGAUAAUAAUUCUGAAGAUGUUCUUUAUCUUCGCCUUGCUGCCAAAGAUUUGCUACCAGGUUCUAGAAAAGAGAAAAGAAAACCAAAGGUCGGAGUUGUUACUAUUGUAAGUAUUAUUGGUUUUGGGUUAAUAAUGGUCAUCCUGCUGUUACUGAUUUGGAGGAACAAAUUCAAGAGGUGUGGUUUGCCUAUAUAUGACAAUCCAGGUAGUGCUAGUGGAAUUGUAGCCUUCAGAUACACUGACUUGGUUCGUGCUACUAAAAGCUUCUCAGAAAAGCUUGGAGGAGGUGGUUUUGGUUCUGUAUACAAGGGGGUGUUAAGUGACUCAACAACUACUAUAGCAGUGAAAAGGCUAGAUGGGGCCCGUCAAGGAGAGAAGCAAUUCAGGGCUGAGGUGAGCACAAUUGGACUGAUCCAACACAUAAACCUAGUGAAAUUGAUUGGUUUCUGCUGCGAAGGUGAUCACAGGUUACUUGUGUAUGAACACAUGUUAAAUGGGUCUCUUGAUGGUCAUCUAUUUAAGAAGAGCAAUGCAAAUGUUAUCGUCCUGAAUUGGAACAUCAGAUAUCAAAUAUCCCUAGGAGUUGCUAGAGGAUUGUGUUACUUGCAUCAGGGUUGUCAUGAGUGCAUUAUACACUGCGAUAUUAAGCCGGAGAACAUACUUCUGGAUGCAUCAUUUGUUCCUAAAGUUGCAGACUUUGGGUUGGCAACGUUUGUGGGAAGGGAUUUCAGCCGAAUUCUGACUUCAUUCAGAGGUACUGUGGGUUAUCUUGCCCCAGAGUGGCUUACUGGAGUGCCGAUCACACCGAAAGUCGACGUUUACGGCUUCGGCAUGGUGCUAUUGGAAAUUUUAUCAGGAAGGAGGAAUUCCUCACCUGAAACAUCGUAUAACACUAGUAGCAGCAACAGUGGUCAGAAUAUUGAAUACUUUCCUGUGCAAGCCAUCAGCAAGCUUCACGAUGGAGAUUUAAAGAGUUUGAUGGAUCCACAGUUACAUGGUUAUUUCAAUUUGGAAGAGGCUGAAAGGGUUUGCAAAGUUGCAUGUUGGUGCAUCCAAGAUAAUGAGUUGGAUUGGCCAACAAUGGGUGAAGUUGUCCGGGUUCUCGAGGGUCAACAUGACAUUGAUGUUCCUCCAAUGCCAAGAUUGCUUGCGGCUAUAACUGAACAAUCUGGUUCUGCAACUACAAUGUAA
rnacentral:rRNA from 1 species